UGGCUCAAAUGGUAAAGAACCUGCCUGCAAUGCAGGAAACCCAGGUUUGAUCCCUGG
rnacentral:tRNA from 1 species